rnacentral:lncRNA from 1 species
ACAGAAGCGCUCUGAGUCAGCAUCAGAUGCUUUGCCUCGCCUCUCGCUGUGUAUCUGUAUGCCUGUGUGCGCGCGCGUGCUCGCUCGGGCAUCCGUGUCUAGCCGAGGGGAGGGGGUGGCGUGUGAGUGCGUGGAGGGUAAAAGCCAGUCAGUCAGUGAGAAGCAAAGAUCAACCACCUCAGAAGAGCCAGAUUCCACUUCUGUGGCCAGGACUUUUACAUUAUGGCUGGUCCGAUUGUUUUACCCUGCGUUCUAUGCUACUAAACCUUGGAUCAUUCCUAAAGUACAAAUUCUGUUCUCGAACCACAAACAAGGCUAAAAGAUCGGAGGAAAUUCAGUGAAUAUACAGGAUUGGGGUUGUGUAUUUUUAAAAGUAUUGAGCUUUAUAAUGUAAUUAUUCAAGAAAUAGAAUCAUGGUUUUUUUAUGAUGUUGCCAGCAUUUUAAAUUACAUGUUUAUUAAGUGGCAUUGCUCAAAUAACUACAGAGUAUGCGUGGAAAUAUUUGCUGUCUGAAUAGUUUGGAGAUUCAAAGAGAAAAAUCAAGCUUCAGAGGUAUUAAAUUAUGACAUGCAGAAAAGUUUUUGUUUUGUUCUUAACUGCAACGGUAUAUAUUUAAAUCCGAUUUAAAGUAUUAUAUGUCCUGGGCCCACCUUACCAGUUGUGCUGUAUAGCAGUGUAAUGGGAAGCAAAAUUUCAAUUAGGGUCCCAUUAACUGGCAUAUAAUCCUUCUUUAAUGUAAUAGAGGCUAUGGUGUUGCUGUACAAAUCUGCUAGAAGCAGAUUUUAACCCAUGUUUAGUCUCUUUCUUUGGAUCUAAUGGAAUGACUCUUAACUGUUCAUUGUCUGCAUUGUUUCUCAUAUUCUUCAUUAUUUUAAGGUCUGGAAUUAGUCUAUAAAUGGUCGUCGUGAUUACUCAGCUCAUCCUAACUUUUAUAUAUCAUAUAUAUUUCUACUGAAGUAUUUUAAAUAGUAUUUAGAGGUAAAAGUCUAAGUGAACCCAACUGUAAUUUCUAAGCUAUCCUUAUUUCUGGAAGAAGAAUUCUACCGCAUCAAACCAGACUUUUCCUAG